rnacentral:rRNA from 1 species
ACGUAGGUGGCAAGCGUUGUCCGGAAUUAUUGGGCGUAAAGCGCGCGCAGGCGGCUUCUUAAGUCCAUCUUAAAAGUGCGGGGCUUAACCCCGUGAUGGGAUGGAAACUGAGAGGCUGGAGUAUCGGAGAGGAAAGUGGAAUUCCUAGUGUAGCGGUGAAAUGCGUAGAGAUUAGGAAGAACACCGGUGGCGAAGGCGACUUUCUGGACGACAACUGACGCUGAGGCGCGAAAGCGUGGGGAGCAAACAG